rnacentral:tRNA from 1 species
GGGAGCGUAACUCAACUGGAUAGAGUGUCGAGCUUCUACCUCGAAUGUUGUGGGUUCAAGUCCUACCGAUCCUGC